AAAUCCCCGGGCUCAACCUGGGAACUGCAUUCGAAACUGGCAGGCUUGAGUCUUGUAGAGGGGGGUAGAAUUCCAGGUGUAGCGGUGAAAUGCGUAGAGAUCUGGAGGAAUACCGGUGGCGAAGGCGGCCCCCUGGACAAAGACUGACGCUCAGGUGCGAAAGCGUGGGGAGCAAACAGGAUUAGAUACCCUGGUAGUCCACGCCGUAAACGAUGUCUACUUGGAGGUUGUGCCCUUGAGGCGUGGCUUCCGGAGCUAAC
rnacentral:rRNA from 1 species